CCCAUGCCGGCGGGUUUUUUAAAUCCUACAGGGCCUUCUUACCUCCAGGCCAUGUAUUGGAGCUUCCCCUCAGCAGGCAUGGAAACCUGGAGACCCCAAAAGUAGCAGGAGAUGCCAGCCAGGCUUUCUCAGAGGCCAGACCAGUACUUGGGAAUCCACUAGCCCUCCUCUUGAGAACCUGGCUGCAUUACAAGUCGGACGACUUCAGGGAGCCACCAAGUUACACCACC